UGCAUGUUUUUGGUUUUGAGCACUGUUUUCUUCUGGUGUCAAGAUUUGUGUACGAUAUUCUAGCACCAUUCGAAAUCAGUUCUUACGCCAAAGGUCUUCAGGAACUCAACUUUAACAUAAAAACGUUUUGGUAACUACAACGACUGACUAUAGAGAAUUGACGCCAUUUUGAGUACUUUGGAUUGAAACUGAGACGGCGACCACUGACUGGAAGAAGCCAUAAAUGAAGACCUUCAAAAUUUCCUUGAGACCACAUAGACAAGUAUCAACCAUUCCAACCGAGGACAGCAAUCAUCAAUUGAACAGGAAGACGUCUUUGAAAUGUAGUCCUUCCUCCACAGACUUUGGUGAGCCCUCAGCAUGAAGAAGAGGAUGUAUGAUUUUAGAAUUGAUCACAUCAUUAACUCCAAGAUUAGUACCAAGGAGACUCCAUCAUCAUGGAGGUCUAAAUCACUGAUUAUUGAUAAUUAGUAAAACUGUAUUUCCUCCAAAUUAAUAAAAUAAUAUUCUUGAUUCACAUUUAUAUUAAAUUGACAUUGAAUAGAAAAUGAUAUAUUGUAUCUUAAAUAAAUUAAAUUUAUAAAGAAAAUAGAUGUGAUAGAAAAAGCAAUAUGAAAAAAUUUAUAAAAAGUACU